rfam:Schistosoma margrebowiei strain Zambia genome assembly, scaffold: SMRZ_contig0000278
AUUCAGAUGACCAGUCUCAAAUAGGACGAAAUUCAUGUCUUGGAU